AUGAAAAAUUGCAAUAAGUCCAUCAUAUGUUUUUUUUUUUGUUUUUUUUUUUUUGUUGUCUUUCUUCGUUCGUUCAUAAUAUGUAAGUUCAUAAUAUGCAGGCAGGUCUGUGGUCUUUUUGUCUUCUACCGUCUCCUCUCUGCUCUGUCUACGAUAUGUCCCCCCCCCCAUAUUUCCGCAUCCCUCCAGCAAAUUAUCUCUCACAAUGCUAGUCACUGUUUGAAGCUUGAAAAGGACCAUUCAAAUGCCCUUGAAUACCAAGUUCAGUGUCUCUCUUCACCUGCAGAAAAUCCUGCUCAAGAGUUCUCAAAAUUGGAGGACUCGCCACGUAUUUUGGAUGUAUUUGGCAGUCCUAUCGACUCUCAGUCCAUAACCACUGAGCAUUCGAUUGCCGUUGCAGAAAAUCCUUUUAACCGUUUGGCUACGAGUUUUUUGGAUUUGUCAGAAGAGCAAGAAAAGACUACGUCAUCAGCACACACUCAGGGAGAAGACACUUUGAUGAAAAAAACAUUUGUUGAGCAAAUGAUCUCUCGCAAUACCAGCUUGAAGCUUGAGCUUGACUAUGCUGUUCCAAGUCCCUCUCCUCCUGCUGAAAAUCCUCCUCAAGAGUUGUCCAAGUUAAAAGACUCACCAUGUACUGUGGAUGUUUUUGAUAGACCAAUUGACUCUCAGUCCAUAGCCACAGAUCAUUUGAUUUACAGAACAGAAAAACCUUUCAACCGUUUCGCUACGAGUUUUCCAGAUUUGUCAGAAGAGCAAGAAAACACUACUUCAUCAGCCGACACUCAGCAUGUGAUGGAUAUAGAAAAAAAUCAUUUUACGCUUUUGACUAAAAGUGUUCUGGAUUUUUCGGAGGAGCAAGAAAGGUCGUCUUCAAAACCCAAAAGACAGGGUUUGAUGCGCACUGACGUUAGUGCUUUUCAUGACAUACCCAGGGGUAUUGUAUAUGCGUCAUCGCCCAAACCAGUCGAUCUCUUUGAUGCAAAGUCUUUGGGUUUUUCCAUAUUUCAACUCUCACCAAGCCCCUCACAAACGUUUUCACAAAAUGGAGGUCGUAUAUCUGGUCCAAGUAAAUGGCGUGACAGCAAAAGGUUUUCACAAGCAUUAGGGAAUACCUCUGAGACUGAUUCUUUCUCCUGUUCGCCGAGCAUGCCCUUCCACCUCGUCCUGGACGAGAGUUCAAAGGAGGAAUCACACCUCGUCCUGGAGAAGAGUUCAAAGGAGGCAAUAAUGGAUGAGUUUCAAGGUAAGGCAUAGUCUCAGAAUACUCAAUUCCUCUUGUGCAUUUGAGCCAUUUUAUACAUAUGCGCAUAUGGAGAACCAGAGGAGAUUCGAUAACACAAGCGAGCAACAUGCUCUUCCUCUGAUUCUGCAGUACAUGGGUAUUUUUAAUUCUUAUAUAAUAUUCAGUAAGAUGAUGUCUGGUCAUCCUCUAGACAUAAUGGCACCAAGACUGACGUUUUGGGGUUCAGGAGAGAGAUAAUUCAUAGCCUUAUUGCAGCGGCCAUUCGGAGUUCAGCUUAAAUUCAAACGGCUGGGGAAUAUUUAUGAUCUGAAGUUUGAUAGGAGUUCUGGCCAUUACCUUCACACACAUUCCAUUUAUUCAGGAGAGAGAUCAUUCAUAGCCUUAUGGCAGCGGCCAUUCGGAGGUCAGCUUAAAUUCAAACGGCUGGGGAAUAUUUAUGAUCUGAAGUUUGAUAGGAGUUCUGGUCAUUACCUUCACACACAUUCCAUUUAAGCUGGACUCCUGCUUCCAGCAAGACUUUCAGAUACCAGUAUAUAAUUAUUUGUACAUUUCAGAAUCCCUUAAGUUAAAUAGAAUAAUAGAUGAAUCUAUUCUACUGAAUAAAGAUUAUUUGGAAGGCCAAUCUGUUUUUGGGAAGAGGAGUGUUUUUAUUUCUUGGACUGGUAACCUUGAAAUACAGUCAAGAGAUAUUAGGUCAUUUAAAAUGCA
ensembl:lincRNA